rnacentral:misc_RNA from 1 species
CUCUCUCUCUCUCUCUGUAUGUGUUGUGUGAGUUUAAAUCUUUAGAUUCAAAUUAUUGUCUUUCCCAGGCUAUAGGGAAGGUGGUUCAAACACAUUCAUGUACUUGGUCAAAUGUUUUGGGAUCUGGCAUUCCUUGAAAGCUGAAGCUCGCACGUCAUUGCCAGCUUUGAAAAUGUAAAAGUCAUAAAGCUUAUGAUGCUUACAGCACCAUCCAUAUCCUUUUUCUUCUUUUUGAGGGGAUGGAAUCUGUUAUUUUACUUAUUUGUGUUUCCAAAUUUUUGAGUCCUUGCUUGUGGUGUAAGCAACAGAGGAACGACUCUUCUUUUUUUUGGUACUUUAAGAAGAAAUUUGAUGUCUGCUGCGUAUGGGUACAGCCUUUUUAAAGGGAUGAGCUGCUUUUGGGGAUUGUUUUUCCCCAAAGCAUGGAAUUAGUAAUAUGUUGUCCUCAAAGUCUAAAGUCUAAACUCUCUAGAUCAGCGAUGCUCGGCAUAUCAGUAAAUAUUCAUUGACGGGUUGUUUAAAGACUUUUAGCCUGUUACAGAACAUAUUUACAUGUAUAUUUGUUGGUUGAAUUUCUUAUGGGAAAUAAACAAAGAUUCUGAUUUAUGUAGUCAAUCAUUCUAUUAAAUUACAAAUUCAAACCUGAAUGGGCGAACUAUACUUUUGUUGUCUGCAUCAUUAAAUCUUUCAGUUAUGACUUGCUUAUAAAUAAUGUGCUCUUGAUUUCUCAGGUCAAGGAUUUGCUACUGAAAG